GAGAACCUCUGCCAAAACAAAACUAGUUACAUUGGUGGUGAAAUCCUCUCUGCUCCAACUUGACAUCCCUUUCAUUGAAGGCCUUCCUUGAGAUGGAUUAAAAGUAUGAGAAAGGAACAUUUAUUAGGCACUCAGACGUCACGAAUGUGUGUUAAGCACUGAACAGAUAUCCAAGCAGAAGGUCUGGGUUUACCUUUCAGCAGGAAGAUGUUGCCAUGGUUACACCACCACCCUCCCUGGAUGCAGUGUGCAGUCAGUGAAGGUCUGAUAGGUGCAGCAUGAGCUGAGUGCCAGCCACAAUUGUAGCAGAAGAAGAAACCUAAGAGAGACUGAAUUUUCCGUACAGGGUCUCCGUUGACUUACCCGCGGGCCGGGACAGAGCAGCCUUCCUCAGCCACAUCCUUCCAUCAUGCCGUUUCUGCCCUGAAGCCAGCAUCAUAGAGUAAAUCCGCUGGAAAACACCGGAAACUGUGAUCCGAAUAAACCUCUCC
ensembl:lncRNA